AGAGUUAGGUUUCUAAGCAAACGCUGUAUUAAUGCAGUGGUGUUACCUCUCGUCUUCCUAGUCCUCACAGAUGCGUAUUAGAAAUGGAACUGAAUAAAAUCAUCCUCCGCCCAGGUCACACUGAAAACCUUCCUCAGCACUUCAUCCUUCUCGGACGACAGUUCAGAGGACAUGUUUAGCCUCUCUGCACAGGACAGGUAUAGAAUCAUGGACCCCACACUGAACUAUUUCAAGUAUUUUCCUUCAAACCAAACUACACACACACACACACACACACACAC